GGCUUCCAGGAUACGUUUCUUUUACAAAACCCUAGCAUCGGCAAUUAUUUAUCUCCUUCUUCAUAUGGUUGUAAAUGGUUUGUUCUUCAUCUUCAUCUUCUUCAUAUCAUGAUUUCUUUUUCUUCAUAACAUGUUCGAUAUUAUCAGGGUUUACAAUUCAACCGUUCACACCAUCUACAAAUCCUUUCGGUACACUCUCAUCACAUCUGUUUCCAAUUUGGGGUUUCAACUUUCAAGCAAUCGGAACUUCUGUUUAGUUACGGUGAUUAUUCAGUGCUACAUUUGAUUAUUCUGUUUUGGUACUUAAUUGGAUUAAGUAGUUUUGGAAUUGAAGAUGAACUGUGCAUAUGGUUGAUUGGUUUUGAAGAUGCUUAAAGUGUUUUAAGAUAAGGGAUUCAGUGUGAUGCUGUGAUCGUUUCAUGAUAUUGGUGAUGUUGAGUUUCAGGAUAACUAGGGACGGGUUUGGGUAGACAAUGGUACUUCUGAUUGCUUUGCUCUUGAUGUGCUGCUUAAUCGCCUCACUGUACUAAGUUCCGAGUAUUUGGGUAUACAACAGGUGGUCUUUGGAGGUCGGUCAAUCUGCGAUUGGGAAGAGGGAAUGAAAAACCCUGAAGAUGGAUACAAGUACUUUAAGAUUGUUGCGCUCACAACGUUCGUUUAUGGAAAAUUGGAGAGCGAGUCAGAAGUAAGAUCUGAUCAAGGGAAGAUAGUGGACUUGUGAAUCCCACAAAGGAGAUCUCUAAAGCAACGGUGUGGUAACUCAAGUGGCGGCGGUGGUGGUGCUGCAAUCAUUUCGAUUCAACAAACCAUCUGGUCGUGGAAGGAGUGAUGGAUUGUAAGGAUAUGUACCUUCUGGAUCAUGUUGUGGCCGAUUCCAUGAGUUAAUUUCUGCACUCAUACUUUUUUUGUUGUAUCUUUUGUAUAAGUUAUUAUAUGUAUGGCUACAUAUAUGUAUGCGUAUUGCAACCUGAUGGGUGGCUAUGGUAUGGGAAUGAGUGGGCCCAGUGGCCCGUUUGGUGCUCCUUCAUUGUCUCCUUGAUUCUGGAUUUUCUUGAUGUGUGUGGUAAGCCAACAAACCUAUCUAUUAAGUCUAGAGGUGGCGAAACGGCAGGGGUUGGCAAAGGAUCAUAUGGGCGAAUUUUCAAAGGAUCGGAUCGGGUUGGGCCAGCCUAGAAGCACUUUAUUGGUCUUAUAUUGAAAACCCCUGUUUUUUUAUGUUUUAGAUGCGAUUUCUUUAUAUCAUGUGUGAUUACAAUACUUAAUUGGGCGUAUCUUUGAAAACCCCUAUUUUUGAUGUUUUCUAUAGAAAUUAUAAAACCUAAUUGUUGUUUCACAUAAUUAGGUCUCGCUUAAAAGGUAACCUUAUUUUUUGUAUGAUCAAAGGGGUUUCGACUAUAUUGGCACCCUUCCUUUGUUCGUGAUGUUUAUGGAUCCGUUAGUGGUUAGUUUUUAUUGUGCUUCUUAUCGUCGCAACAAUUUUCAUCUGCAACCGAACCAUUUGUGAUUAUGUAUAUGUAUGUGUGCGUCAUAACAAAGUAGAGGAUUGGUCCAAGUUUAAUGAAACUGGGUCUUCAUAAUUUUUUUACGUUUAUUUGAAACUUGCAUUGUAUUUGGGUUUUAACCUCAAUCUGUGAUAUGUACGGUAUAUUUACAGUUGUAAUUAUAAGAUUUUUUAGGUUUGUAUUUGCAUAUACGACACAAUCAACUACUGCUAAGAAAAGUUGCAAGAAUGAAUAAAGAUUCUAGAAAAUAGUCACUCUGGUCUCUAAAGUUAAUAAUGUAGAUGCCAAGAGUGGCAGAUGGUCCAAUUUAGGGAAACAAAUUUGCAGAUUGCAACUCUCUUAGAAAGGAAGCAAAUGAUGUGUAUAGUACACCAGACGAUAUUGGUCAGGUUGAAUUGACCCACAUGCUUUGUUUAUUGUUAAAAGUACAUUUUAACUGCUAUAUGAGAACUUUUGGUAUUGGUGCUUCAUGUGUGUAUUGUUUUCCUUUAUACCUUUUAUUCAAUAUGCUAAUUUUUUAUAGAUAUUCAGUUUGUUUUCAUUUAGGUUGUCUAAGGAUUUCUUUUUUCAUUUGCUUUUCUUAGGAUUUCAAACAAUGACAUGAAUAUAUAAUCAAAUAAUUUACAUAAUGAAAUAUGAACAAUGAAUACUUUUUGUGUCACAGGAGCUUUUUAAGGUAAAUUCAGGACGUAGCUUAUUUGGGAUUGUUAACGGACGGUGUGUUGAGGACCCGAAAUCAAUGGCGUCUGACUUAACCUGCAAUUCACUUCCGGGUCUUGACAUUGCUACAAACCGGGACAUAAUAGGGAUAUAUCUUGCUAAUUUGAUUCGGCUUCAUUGGAAACGCACAUCAAGAAUUAACCAUGGAUUGAUGUUGACUUCUCCUCUCAGACGAGUGCAUGAUGAUAACGGGAAAUGGAGUUAAAGUUUAUCUAUUUAGUUUACUCGAGAGGGAGGGAGAGUUAAUACAAGAAAAAGGCUUCCGGUUAAAAAAAACUUUGCAAUUUUAUUUUUCUGCAGCAGGUUUGUGGAGUUAGGUAUUGGAGCUCAAUGAUGGCAAUAGAGAGACAAAUGCUUCUAACUUGCUUUACACGGAGUAUUAAUCCUUUAAGCCUAACACGUCCAACUGAAACAAAAGCCUUCCUCAAGUUAGUUUUUUUUUUUUACCUAUUAUUCCUCAUAUUGUUGUAGAUUUAGGGAUAGAUGGAUGUUUGAUUUGAAGUUGUAACUUUAAUCCAGUUAGUCUCUUUGUAUCUUCUAUUGAGAUUCAUGAGAACAUUUUUGUUCCAUAAAAUCCAUCUGCUCAUCUCAAUGUGUCAAUUUUUUAUAGUACACAUUAUCUUCUCUAUUCAUAACAAAACAUUAGUGAGGGGUUGGGAGGGAAAGUGGGGAAUGUGACGUGGAGGAGAAGGGUGAGAAUAAGAAGGUUGAAGAGAUCGGUCAAGAAGAGGCGUGGUUUAAGCGGAGUGAAAAGGGCAAGGUCGAGGAAUAAUGAUAGUUGCACCUGCUCGAUGUGCCGCCAUGUUGGAUGUAUAUCUCCCUUUGCCUAGAUGCUCAGGUUUCGUUUGUCAAGUGUUUUGCAAUGACCAUAGUGUGCUUAUUUUCGUACUACGUAUAUCUUGCUGGGGUAUGUGGUAUGAUUCUAUGAUAUUUACCUUAUAUUUUUAUUGUUAUACACUAUGAAGUUUGGUUUUUAAACAUAAGAUUUUGCAAUAUUGUGGUGGGGCAAUUCAGCCAAUGUUGCCAUGUAUGUUUGUAUCUAUAAGAAUAGACAUAGAAUAUUAACAAACAAUAAAGCAUUCUAAGCAGUUAUUGGUAUUCUAUUUUGUGGAUUUUGUGGUACGAGUAUAUGUUAGUGAGACCGAUAUGGUGAUGGCGAUUCUGACAGCGAUUUUCCAGUCAUGUUUAGACUGUUUAAAUUCUAGAAACUUUAAUCGUUUGUAUGUGUGGUGGUGGCCAAAAUAGGGCUUGGUCGACGGUUGAAGGAGCAUACAGGAUGAUUUCUGAGUUCUAAGGUUUGGUCAACAGUUUCAAGACGAAGCUUCUGGGCCAGAUGCUCUAUUAUAUUUCAGGGGCAUGACAACACACAUUGGGAGAAGAAUAUUGUUAUAUCACAAGUGUCAAGAAUUUAUAUUCUAUUUUGUAGAUACUCAUAAAUUAUUUAAUAUCACACCUUUUCAUUUGUCAAUCGAAACUGAAAUUUUGAGUUA